rnacentral:lncRNA from 1 species
GUUUUAUUUUGGAUUUUGAUAUCACUGUUCCGGUUCCAACUGCCACGUGGUCGCAUUUGGGGAAAACCCAGGCGUAGAAGUCUGGCGAUACGUCGCCACCGACGUACAUUUCCGCGAGGUCGUUGUAGUGCUUCAUUUUAUCUUCCGGUAGUCGGAUCCUUUCUUGGAAUGCGAUCGCGCAGGUGUAGUCUCCGGCAUCGAUCGCUUUGGCCACGCGACUGUUGGCACCGUCUGCGCCAAUGACGACGUCGACUUGGAGUGUUUUGAAUGUCUUCUCGGACGAUGAGGUGUAGGUUAUGACGUAGGGGUCUGAAGAAGAUACCGGGAGUUGAAGGCCGAGAAAUAAACCGGUGAUGAUUUGUGCGCCACGGCUUUCAGCGCGAGAACGGAGGAAGGAGUCGAGCACUUCCCUUCGGAGCAUAGGGAUAUACUCAUGAGACUUAAGAGUGCGGCCAAAGUCAACGACGCGGUUGGAGGGGGAGAUGAUCUUCAUCCGCCUGACGCGUCGGUCGAUGAGAUCCAACGGAACAGAGAACUCAUCAAGCAUGCAUAGGGGAAUAGCACCACCACAAGGUUUAGCUCCAGCAGGAGCACGCUCGAUAAGGUAAGUCUGGAUUCCACCAGCAGCCAUUGCUUCCGCAGCUGAAGAACCCGCAGGACCACCACCGAUUACCGCCGCACGGAGCUUGCGACCAUGGAUGCGUGUACCGGAAGCCGAAAUUUGGCAUUGACGACGUGGAUGUAGUGAGGGUUUUGUCGGUUUGACUGAUCUAAGAGAGAAUGGAGUAGAGGCGGUGAAUAAGUGGUAGACAAUCGGUGUCGGCAUUUGUUGCCUGAAGUAUGUAUAAUGAGAAGCUUAGAAGAAAGAAGCCUUGUAUUUGGUUGAAGAUCUGAAAUAGAUUCCCUAUUUGAAAAAUAAAAAUAAAAAUAAAAAUAAAAAUAAUAGCAUAAAAUUGCACGUGGUCGGGGUAGUAAAAUCACAGAAGUAGCAUAAAACAAUAACAAAUAGCCAAAUAAAUAGAGUUUGCUUGCUUGCACUUGCAUCGUGAAUUCACGAAUUAUGAUAACCCAUUCUUCUCUCGUUGCGCUAGUCGAACCAAUGCUUGAACAACUUCUGACAUUGGUGGUCUGAACUCGGGCUCGGACUAUGGCAAAUUGGCAAUGGUGUGUGUGAUUAGGAAUUAAGAUGAAAUUGAAGAUUUGAUUUGAUAUUAUUUAAUUGGAAAUUUAAUUUAAUAUACCUGGAGGCAGAGAGCAAUGACAUCGGCAAAUCCUGAAAGAGACUUGGCAGGAUAUAUGCCUCUGAGAGUUGGAUCCACCAUCUUGUCAAGUGCGUCGAUGUCAUGGAGUUGAGGCGUAGCCCAUCGGACUAAACUCUGCUGAGAUCUCUGUCUGCAACUGUUUGAAAUACAGUGAUCCAUAUUUAAUCAAACUGGUUAAUUGUAUGUAAUAAGUAGCUAGCUAAUAGGAAUAUACCUGUCAAAUGGUUUGCGCCCAGUUACAAGUUCCAACAUAAUGAUUCCGAAAUUGUACACGUCGGUCUUCAGUGUAUAUUCACCUGACAUUGUCAUUUCCGGUGAUGUGUAGCCACAGCCUAUGUCUAGAUCAAAUGCCUGAACCUCAAACAAAUUAAAACAUCCUUCCUGUACACACACACACACACAUAUAUAUAGAUAGAUUCAAAUGUUGGUUCUCACACCUGCCGAUCCGCAUUUCCCACAAGAUUGUACAGUCCACAAUCCGAAACAUGUGGAUUCAACUCGGCGUCGAGUAAAAUAUUGGCCGACUUCAAAUUCAUAUGGACUAAAGCGGGGGAGCAAACUUGGUGUAGAUACCUAUACCAACAACAAUUUAUCUCUAUAAAUAAGAUAAAAACUAGCUACGAUCCAUUUAGAGAUCAAUUAGCUACUUACUCCAAACCACGAGCGGUACCUAAUGCAAUCAUCACCCGGAUGUUCCAUGAUAACGGAUACUUUGAAUCAUCGCCCAAAUGUAAGAAUUCCUCCAGCGAACCAUUUUCGUGCAACUCAUACAAAAUCAAGUGCUGCCCGUGCUCCGAGCAGUAUCCGACGACCUCACUCACGUUUGGAUGAUGUAAUCUGGAAAUGUUUGAAACCGUAGCCAAGAAUUUUUCUUCUACUUCCUCUUGCUUCUUCUGCGUACAAAUGUUUAUUUUCUUCACAGCCAACACCUUGCCAUCGUCGAAUUCUGCUCUGUAUACACGUCCGAACAACCCCUCGCCGAUUACAUUAUCUGCGCUGAAGCUUCCUGUGGCCAUUUGUAGAUCUGCCACCGAAUAUACAUUGCAUAUCGGGACUGAUUUUCUUGAUUCCAUAACGAUGGUUUUAUGAUCAGAAAAUUCAUUGUUGUCCUUGUUUUCUAACUGCUCGUCUUUCUCGUAGUCGGUCGUAUUAUGUCGAUGUUUCAGGCCCAUCGGAGAAUGAGGAGGUGUUUGUAACGUCGACUCUGAUGGUAUUCCAAUAAUCUUCAACUCUGCAUACAUAUAAAGUCUUCUGAAUAAUUAUCUAUAAUAUUUGAUCUAUUCGAAUUACAUCGGAUUAUAUUCAUACGUACGUACCGUUAGUUUCGUUGACCGGAUAUAGAGGAGUAAAAACCUGCUUGCUCUCCAACUUUUCCAUUCCGGAAAAUCUAUUUUUCUUUCUUCUUAUCAACAAGAAUGCCAACACAGCCCCAACACCCAGUACUGAAAGAAUUACGCCGACUAUUAAGCCGCCACCCACACCGGUUUUACUACUACUAUUAUUGCCGCCUUUAGUGGUUGGAGGGACGUGAACGGGAUUUGUUUUUCGACCUUGACGCGUCGGUGUGUGCGAUGGAUUCUUUGAGGAUGGUUUUGAUGGAGGUGGAGGGGGUUCUGCGUUCCAUGAAUUUCCAUCGCUCCUGUUCGCAAUUAAUUACAUAUAAAAAACACAACUGAAACUCUUAUCGAUAUCUAUCUCAAUGAGCUCACCGGAAAUUGUUGAUAUUUUUCAAUUGAUCGGGUAUCCAACCGCUGAAAUGGUUAUUAUCUACAUUCCUGACGUCGAGGAAAUAUUGAUUGAUUUCAUAUGCAUGAAUGAGAAUAUGAAUUGAGCUAGAAAAUAUUCAUUUCUUACAGAUCACCAAGUGGUAGUUUAGCAAGAACGUCGAUGGUCCCUGUGAAUUGGUUGUUCUGCAAAUCUCUGCGCGCAGGAAAAUCUCAAAAAAUAAAUAAAUACAACAGGAGGGAGAUCUAAGAAUAAUUUAAUUCCCUUACAAUUUCUUGAGACUGGAAAGCGACCCGAAAGAUUCCGGUAGAUCACCGGAGAAAUUAUUAUUGGAGAAAUUUCUACACAUUAAGUAUGACGUUAAAUAUAGAGUAUCUAUCGAUCGAGCUAGGUAGUAGUGUUAUAAUAAGGUAUGUACAUUGUAGAAAGACGAGGAAGGUUGGCGAACAUGUCCGAUAAAGAACCUUGAAGCUGAUUCCCGCCGAUGUUUCUGCAUUUAGAAGCCCGCCCAGUCACGUACAUGGUACAUACAUGCAUUUCAAUUUUGAAAUAUGAAGUCAAGGUACUCACAGAUAUUUCAACGUUGACAUUUGAGAAAUGGAAUAAGGAAGGUCGCCGGAAAAUGUAUUUCUUGAAAAAUCCCUGCCAACAUCGUGCGGUAGUCAAAACAAAUUAACCUUAAAACAACAAACAAAUUAACUUGUUGUGAUCUGUGCUCAUGUAGUAACUCACAAUCGUUCUAAAUUUGGAGGAAGUUGGUACGGAAACUGAUUUCCUUGUCCGAUGCCGUUAUUGCUCAAAUCACUGCACUCAGAUAUCGAUCCAAAAUGAAUCAUUCUUAAUCACCCAAUUGCAAUCCAAUUUACAACCAACAACAUACUUCAACUUACAAGUAAGUAACCGACGUCAUUUUAUCGAGUGUGUAUCCAAGAGAUCCUCCGGUAAGACCCAAUCCAGAUAAAUCUCUGAUAUAAUAAUAUUCAAUUAAUGACUGACAUGUUAAAUCUCAUAAUUAGAAAAUAGGAUCGGAGUUGAUUACAUUUUGGUGACUUGAGAACCAGAGCAGUUGAUCCCGGUCCAUCCUUCUCCGCAAGGAUCUCCGCCGUUGUUGCUCCAACCACUGAGCUGCGACGCCGAGUUGAGGCCACUGAACAUGGUGUUCAGAGCGGUAACUGGGGAAUUAAUAUUGAAGUUGUAUAUUAUUAAUAGUAAAGAUUGAAAAUAAAAAUAAGAGAAUAUCAAAAUUAAUUAACCAUCAGCUUGAUCGGUGGAGGAAUCGACCGUCGGAGAAAGAACCAAACAGAAAAUGAAAAACGGAAGAAGUUGCCGCAUUGUCGUUUGCCGUGGUCGGUUUGAAUUGAGUCACCAAACAAAUUAAACAAACUUACUCUUCUUUUCGCACCUUUUGUCUUCCUUCCCACUCCAAUUCCAACCCUUUAUUCAAUUCAAUUCAAUUAUUGCUUUAUCAUUUUCAUCUCAACCACCACCGGCAGUCGAUCUGACAGUCUGGUACUUCAUUGGCACACACAAUCUCCACGAGUUAAGACAGUCAGUUCAUCAGAAUAUCUAGCUAUCUCUGUCACCGGUUAUAUCGAAAUCUGUAAAGUUUUUUUUAAUAGCCAGAUCUCAACAGACAGAAGACAAAGACAAUGAACCGAUAAUUACUUUGGUUGUUGUGGUUUGGUUAUUGCUGUUGAAGAAAAAUAAACAAACAUACGUACAUAUAUGACAACUGGAAACACUUUGACAUAAUAACUUGUGCUAACUGCUAACCAUUGAAACGUUCCGGAGAAUUCACUAACCAGAUCGAGUUCAGUUACCAAAUCCUCUCCCCUCUUUCCUCUGCGUCCCAUUUCGCGGACGUGAAUGCUCUAGGAUUGGGUCUGCUUCUAUAUUUAAUUACAAUUUUCUUUCCGCGUGGGACAGGAUGUUUCUCUUGAAAUUGUUUUAUUUUGGAUUUUGAUAUUGUUUCACCGUUCCGAUUCCAACUGCAACGAUUGGUCGCAUUUCCGGAAAACCCAAGCGUACAAGUCUGCCGAUACGUCGUCACCGAGGUCGUUGUAGUGCUACAUUAUAUCUUCCGGUAGGUAGUCGGAUCCUUUCUUGGAAUGCGAUGGCUCAGGUGUAGUCUCCGACAUCAAUCGCGCAGGUGUAGCUUCCGUUUGCGCCAUUGUCGACUUCGAGAGUUUUGAAUGUCUUCUCUGACGGCGACGAUGGGGUCUG